UACGUAGGCAGCAAGCGUUGUUCGGAGUUACUGGGCGUAAAGAGUAUGUAGGCGGUGCUCCAAGUCUGGUGUGAAAUCUCCCGGCUUAACUGGGAGGGUGCGCCGGAUACUGGAGUGCUUGAGUGUGGGAGAGGAAAGCGGAAUUCCUGGUGUAGCGGUGAAAUGCGUAGAUAUCAGGAGGAACACCGGUGGUGUAGACGGCUUUCUGGACCACUACUGACGCUGAGAUACGAAAGCGUGGGGAG
rnacentral:rRNA from 1 species